rnacentral:rRNA from 1 species
AUUGAACGCUGGCGGCAGGCCUAACACAUGCAAGUCGAGCGGAUGAAGGGAGCUUGCUCCUGGAUUCAGCGGCGGACGGGUGAGUAAUGCCUAGGAAUCUGCCUGGUAGUGGGGGAUAACGUCCGGAAACGGGCGCUAAUACCGCAUACGUCCUGAGGGAGAAAGUGGGGGAUCUUCGGACCUCACGCUAUCAGAUGAGCCUAGGUCGGAUUAGCUAGUUGGUGGGGUAAAGGCCUACCAAGGCGACGAUCCGUAACUGGUCUGAGAGGAUGAUCAGUCACACUGGAACUGAGACACGAUCCAGACCCCUACGGGAGGCAGCAGUGGGGAAUAUUGGACAAUGGGCGAAAGCCUGAUCCAGCCAUGCCGCGUGUGUGAAGAAGGUCUUCGGAUUGUAAAGCACUUUAAGUUGGGAGGAAGGGCAGUAAGUUAAUACCUUGCUGUUUUGACGUUACCAACAGAAUAAGCACCGGCUAACUUCGUG